GACGAACGCUGGCGGCGUGCUUAACACAUGCAAGUCGAACGGAAAGGCCCUGCUUUUGUGGGGUGCUCGAGUGGCGAACGGGUGAGUAACACGUGAGUAACCUGCCCUUGACUUUGGGAUAACUUCGGGAAACUGGGGCUAAUACCGGAUAGGAGCUCCUGCUGCAUGGUGGGGGUUGGAAAGUUUCGGCGGCUGGGGAUGGACUCGCGGCUUAUCAGCUUGUUGGUGGGGUAGUGGCUUACCAAGGCUUUGACGGGUAACCGGCCUGAGAGGGUGACCGGCCACAUUGGGACUGAGAUACGGCCCAGACUCCUACGGGAGGCAGCAGUGGGGAAUAUUGCACAAUGGGCGGAAGCCUGAUGCAGCAACGCCGCGUGCGGGAUGACGGCCUUCGGGUUGUAAACCGCUUUCGCCUGUGACGAAGCGUGAGUGACGGUAAUGGGUAAAGAAGCACCGGCUAACUACGUGCCAGCAGCCGCGGUGAUACGUAGGGUGCGAGCGUUGUCCGGAUUUAUUGGGCGUAAAGGGCUCGUAGGUGGUUGAUCGCGUCGGAAGUGUAAUCUUGGGGCUUAACCCUGAGCGUGCUUUCGAUACGGGUUGACUUGAGGAAGGUAGGGGAGAAUGGAAUUCCUGGUGGAGCGGUGGAAUGCGCAGAUAUCAGGAGGAACACCAGUGGCGAAGGCGGUUCUCUGGGCCUUUCCUGACGCUGAGGAGCGAAAGCGUGGGGAGCGAACAGGCUUAGAUACCCUGGUAGUCCACGCUGUAAACGGUGGGUACUAGGUGUGGGGUCCAUUCCACGGGUUCCGUGCCGUAGCUAACGCUUUAAGUACCCCGCCUGGGGAGUACGGCCGCAAGGCUAAAACUCAAAGGAAUUGACGGGGCCCCGCACAAGCGGCGGAGCAUGCGGAUUAAUUCGAUGCAACGCGUAGAACCUUACCUGGGUUUGACAUGGAUCGGGAGCGCUCAGAGAUGGGUGUGCCUCUUUUGGGGUCGGUUCACAGGUGGUGCAUGGCUGUCGUCAGCUCGUGUCGUGAGAUGUUGGGUUAAGUCCCGCAACGAGCGCAACCCUUGUUCACUGUUGCCAGCACGUUAUGGUGGGGACUCAGUGGAGACCGCCGGGGUCAACUCGGAGGAAGGUGGGGAUGACGUCAAGUCAUCAUGCCCCUUAUGUCCAGGGCUUCACGCAUGCUACAAUGGCUGGUACAGAGAGUGGCGAGCCUGUGAGGGUGAGCGAAUCUCGGAAAGCCGGUCUCAGUUCGGAUUGGGGUCUGCAACUCGACCUCAUGAAGUCGGAGUCGCUAGUAAUCGCAGAUCAGCAACGCUGCGGUGAAUACGUUCCCGGG
rnacentral:rRNA from 1 species